UUCGGGGACAGAGUGACAGGDGGUGCAUGGUUGUNGUCAGCUCGDGUCGUGAGAUGUUGGGUUAAGUCCCGCAACGAGCGCAACCCUUAUUGUUAGUUGCCAUCAUUUAGUUGGGCACUCUAGCGAGACUGCCGGUGAYAAACCGGAGGAAGGUGGGGAUGACGUCAAAUCAUCAUGCCCCUUAUGACCUGGGCUACACACGUGCUACAAUGGGAAGUACAACGAGUCGCGAAGUCGCGAGGCUAAGCUAAUCUCUUAAAGCUUCUCUCAGUUCGGAUUGUAGGCUGCAACUCGCCUACAUGAAGCCGGAAUCGCUAGUAAUCGCGGAWSAGCACGCCGCGGUGAAUACGUUCCCGGGCCUUGUACACACCGCCCGUCACACCACGAGAGUUUGUAACACCCGAAGUCGGUGAGGUAACCUUUUGGAGCCAGCCGCCUAAGGUGGGAUAGAUGAUUGGGGUGAAGUCGUAACAAGGUAACCGUA
rnacentral:rRNA from 1 species